CUUUAUAUAAUGAAAACGAACACCGACUCUUCUUGGACUUAUCCUAAUCCUAUGAAUAUUAACUAACUUGUAAAAGAUCUCCUAAGAUAAAGACAAAUCCUAAUGACUCGACAGAAAGAGUGACUAUCGGUUUAACACAUAACCGAACGUAAACCAAGGGAUGCGCUGCAUCACAUUGUCUCAGCCUUUGUUACCUCUUCCGCAUUGACCAGGUUAGCAAUAUAUGGGUUACAACCUAACCUGAGACAAUAUUCAAACAAAAAGAUUUGCAGGGUCUCUGAAAAUGUAUUUAUGCUCCUAACUAAUACAAACGAAUAGGAGACGCUGAAUAUAAAAAAUCAUACGAAUUAUGUAGAAUAAAAGUGUUGCCACUACAAAGACUCACCAGUUUAAAUAAUCUUGGGUGGGUUGGAC
rnacentral:lncRNA from 1 species